rnacentral:rRNA from 1 species
UAACGGGGCUCAAGCCGAGCACCGAAGCUAUGGGUGUGCAGCAAUGCACGCGGUAGCGGAGCGUUCCGUAAGCCAGUGAAGGGAGACCCGUGAGGGCUCCUGGAGGUAUCGGAAGUGCGAAUGCUGACAUGAGUAGCGUUAAAGGGGGUGAAAAGCCCCCUCGCCGUAAGCGCAAGGUUUCCUACGCAACGUUCAUCGGCGUAGGGUGAGUCGGCCCCUAAGGCGAGGCAGAGAUGCGUAGCUGAUGGGAAACAGGUCAAUAUUCCUGUACCGAUCUAUAGUGCGAUGUGGGGACGGAGAAGGUUAGCUCAGCCAACUGUUGGAUAUGUUGGUUCAAGCAUGUAGUCAUGGCCCUUAGGCAAAUCCGGGGGUCUUAGAUGAGGUGUGAUAACGAGUCUGCUUGCAGACGAAGUGAGUGAUACCCUGCUUCCAGGAAAAGCCACUAAGCUUCAGCUUACAACGACCGUACCGCAAACCGACACUGGUGCGCGAGAUGAGUAUUCUAAGGCGCUUGAGAGAACUCUGGAGAAGGAACUCGGCAAAUUGACACCGUAACUUCGGAAGAAGGUGUGCCUUUAGUAGGUGAACCUGUACAAGGGGAGCCCAAUGAGGCCGCAGAGAAUCGGUGGCUGCGACUGUUUAAUAAAAACACAGCACUCUGCAAAGACGAAAGUCGACGUAUAGGGUGUGACGCCUGCCCGGUGCUGGAAGAUUAAAUGAUGGGGUGCAAGCUCUUGACUGAAGUCCCAGUAAACGGCGGCCGUAACAAUAACGGUCCUAAGGUAGCGAAAUUCCUUGUCAGGUAAGUUCUGACCCGCACGAAUGGUAUAAUGAUCUGGGCGCUGUCUCGGCUUCAAACUCGGUGAAAUCUUAGUCCCUGUGAAAAUGCAGGGUAGACGCAGUAAGACAAUAAGACCCCGUGAAGCUUUACUAUAACUUCAUAUUGGUUUUUGGUUUAACAUAUGUAGGAUAGGUGGGAGUCUAUGAAGUGAUGACGCUAGUUGUCAUGGAGACAUCCUUGAAAUACCACCUUUGUUAAAUUGAGGACCUAACUUGCACCCCUUAUCUGGGUGGAGGACAGUGUGUGGUGGGUAGUUUGACUGGGGCGGUCGCCUCCCAAAAGGUAACGGAGGCGCACAAAGUUACACUCAACAUGGUCGGAAAUCAUGUGUGGAGCGCAAAAGUAUAAGUGUGAUUGACUGUGAGACUUACAAGUCGAGCAGGGUCGAAAGACGGUUUUAGUGAUCCGCUGGUUCCUUGUGGAAGGGCCAGCGCUCAACGGAUAAAAGUUACUCCGGGGAUAACAGGCUUAUCUCCCCCAAGAGUUCACAUCGACGGGGAGGUUUGGCACCUCGAUGUCGGCUCGUCUCAUCCUGGAGCUGUAGUUGGUUCCAAGGGUUGGGCUGUUCGCCCAUUAAAGAGGCACGCGAGCUGGGUUCAGAACGUCGUGAGACAGUUUGGUCCAUAUCUACUGUGUCCGUAGGAUAUUUGAGAAAAGCUUCCCCUAGUACGAGAGGACCGGGGUGGACGUACCACUGGUGUUCCGGUUGUCCUGCCAAGGGCAUGGCCGGGUAGCUAUGUACGGAAUCGAUAAAUACUGAAAGCAUCUAAGUAUGAAGCGAAUUUCAAGAUAAGAUAUCCCACUCUUUAUGAGGUAAAUUCCCUUAUAGACUAUGAGGUUGAUAGGCUGGGUGUGUAAGUGUAGUAAUGCAUUGAGCUAACCAGUACUAAUUGAAUGGGAAAUCAUGUGU